rnacentral:rRNA from 1 species
GAUUGAACGCUGGCGGCAUGCCUUACACAUGCAAGUCGAACGGUAACAGGCCGCAAGGUGCUGACGAGUGGCGAACGGGUGAGUAAUGCAUCGGAACGUGCCCAGUAGUGGGGGAUAGCCCGGCGAAAGCCGGAUUAAUACCGCAUACGACCUGAGGGUGAAAGGGGGGGAUCGCAAGACCUCUCGCUAUUGGAGCGGCCGAUGUCAGAUUAGCUAGUUGGUGGGGUAAAGGCCUACCAAGGCAACGAUCUGUAGUUGGUCUGAGAGGACGACCAGCCACACUGGGACUGAGACACGGCCCAGACUCCUACGGGAGGCAGCAGUGGGGAAUUUUGGACAAUGGGCGCAAGCCUGAUCCAGCAAUGCCGCGUGCAGGAAGAAGGCCUUCGGGUUGUAAACUGCUUUUGUCAGGGAAGAAAUCUUCUGGGUUAAUACCUCGGGAGGAUGACGGUACCUGAAGAAUAAGCACCGGCUAACUACGU